AACGAACGCUGGCGGCAUGCCUAACACAUGCAAGUCGAACGAGACCUUCGGUUUUAGUGGCGCACGGGUGAGUAACGCGUGGGAACCUGCCCUUAGGUUCGGAAUAACUCCGCGAAAGGGGUGCUAAUACCGGAUAAUGUCUUCGGACUAAAGGUUUAUCGCCUUUGGAUGGGCCCGCGUCGGAUUAGCUAGUUGGUAGGGUAAAAGCCUACCAAGGCGACGAUCCAUAGCUGGUCUGAGAGGAUGAUCAGCCACACUGGGACUGAGACACGGCCCAGACUCCUACGGGAGGCAGCAGUGGGGAAUAUUGGACAAUGGGCGAAAGCCUGAUCCAGCAAUGCCGCGUGAGUGAUGAAGGCCUUAGGGUUGUAAAGCUCUUUUACCCGGGAUGAUAAUGACAGUACCGGAAGAAUAAGCCCCGGCUAACUCCGUG
rnacentral:rRNA from 1 species